UUCUUGAGUCCUCAAUCGUCCUAAAUUAAAAUCCCAUAUCUGGGUACCCUGGGCACUGGCAUUGCCACCCCACAUUAUAUUGUCGCCAACUACACGACCACUAGGUUUCAGAUCCAUCGGUGACGGCAACAUGAUGAAGGAUGUGAAAGGCGCCUGUUCCUGCAACGGUUGCUGAGGAACUGUAGAACUCGCACCGUUAGCGGCAGUAACUCCAUCAUUUCCAUUCACAAAAUCAGGUGCCUCCACAUUCCCGUGCCAACCGUUCCUACUCGGCGUUUCCGGCAUCAAAUUCUCUCCGCCACCACCGUCGCCGGUAAUCAUAUUUCUUUUCAACAAACCCAUCAACUGCUUAAAUAUCACUUGUUUGUACUUCCCACAACUCGGAAUCUGCUUCCUCUUCGACAUCGUCACCAUCUCUACAUUGCUCCCAUUCCCAUAAACCAUGGCUCUAUCAUUAGGCACCAUCGAAUCCAUAUAGCUCACUCCACCACUAGAUCUACACACCCAUGGCUCGAUUUGCAUCAACAUAUCCUGGACCCCACAGCCGCUCCAGCUCUGAAUCAACGGCACGGAAGACUCCUUGUCCAAUUUCUUCUCCUGAAGAUCGAAUCCCCAGAUUGAGGCGAGCUCUAGCGCAGAUGGACAUCCAGAGAAUCCUUCAAUUGGUGUUCGAUCGUGGGAAGCGGAAACAGAGCAACUACCAUGGGCAUCCCAAUCGCAUUCCCGGCAGAGCACCAAAUUAUCAGUCUCGCAACGAACCGAAACGGGCUCGGAACUGCAGUUAUCGCAGAUCUGGGAACGGAAAUGCUUCCGGGAGAGAAGGUUAGCGGAGUGCACAUGCUGGUCACAGAAGAGGCAAAGCUUGGCAGAAUCCGCUCGGCAGUAGAGAACAGCUACCUGGUCGCUGCAGAAAUCGCAGGAAACGGUCCGUUUAGUAUCCGAUUUGGGGCUCCCCAUGUUAGAUGUAGCUUGAAAAGCCCUAGAAAUGAAGAGAAAGGUUAUGCUAUGAGACUGAGAGACAUUUUUCGCCUUUUGGUAC
rnacentral:misc_RNA from 1 species